GAUGAACGCUGGCGGCGUGCCUAAUACAUGCAAGUCGAGCGAACAGACGAGGAGCUUGCUCCUCUGACGUUAGCGGCGGACGGGUGAGUAACACGUGGAUAACCUACCUAUAAGACUGGGAUAACUUCGGGAAACCGGAUCUAAUACCGGAUAAUAUAUUGAACCGCAUGGUUCAAUAGUGAAAGACGGUUUUGCUGUCACUUCUAGAUGGAUCCGCGCCGCAUUAGCUAGUUGGUAAGGUAACGGCUUACCAAGGCAACGAUGCGUAGCCGACCUGAGAGGGUGAUCGGCCACACUGGAACUGAGACACGGUCCAGACGCCUACGGGAGGCAGCAGUAGGGAAUCUUCCGCAAUGGGCGAAAGCCUGACGGAGCAACGCCGCGUGAGUGAUGAAGGUCUUCGGAUCGUAAAACUCUGUUAUUAGGGAAGAACAAAUGUGUAAGUAACUAUGCACGUCUUGACGGUACCUAAUCAGAAAGCCACGGCUAACUACGUG
rnacentral:rRNA from 1 species